UACGUAGGGUGCAAGCGUUAAUCGGAAUUACUGGGCGUAAAGCGUGCGCAGGCGGUUUUGUAAGUCUGUCGUGAAAUCCCCGGGCUCAACCUGGGAAUUGCGAUGGAGACUGCAAGGCUAGAAUCUGGCAGAGGGGGGUAGAAUUCCACGUGUGAGCAGUGAAAUGCGUAGAGAUGUGGAGGAACACCGAUGGCGAAGGCAGCCCC
rnacentral:rRNA from 1 species